UUCUAACCGUCCGCAAGGACAAUUUACUUGACCAAUUGACCUCAAAUCAGGUAGGA
rnacentral:rRNA from 1 species